rnacentral:tRNA from 1 species
GGGAUCAUGGUCUAUCUUGAUAUGAUACUCGCCUGGGGAUCUAUAUGGUCGCAGGCUCAAAUCUUGCUGAUUCCA